GUAUAAGAGACAGCAGCAGCCGCGGUAAUACAGAGGGUGCGAGCGUUAAUCGGAUUUACUGGGCGUAAAGCGUGCGUAGGCGGCUUCUUAAGUCGGAUGUGAAAUCCCUGAGCUUAACUUAGGAAUUGCAUUCGAUACUGGGAAGCUAGAGUAUGGGAGAGGAUGGUAGAAUUCCAGGUGUAGCGGUGAAAUGCGUAGAGAUCUGGAGGAAUACCGAUGGCGAAGGCAGCCAUCUGGCCUAAUACUGACGCUGAGGUACGAAAGCAUGGGGAGCAAACAGGAUUAGAUACCCGCGUAGUCCCUGUCUCUUAUAC
rnacentral:rRNA from 1 species